rnacentral:rRNA from 1 species
GAGCCUGAGAAACGGCUACCACAUCCAAGGAAGGCAGCAGGCGCGCAAAUUACCCAAUCCCGACACGGGGAGGUAGUGACAAUAAAUAACAAUACAGGGUUCUUUUGGAUCUUGUAAUUGGAAUGAGUACAAUUUAAAUCUCUUAACGAGGAACAAUUGGAGGGCAAGUCUGGUGCCAGCAGCCGCGGUAAUUCCAGCUCCAAUAGCGUAUANNNAAGUUGUUGCAGUUAAAAAGCUCGUAGUUGAAUUUCGGGAUCAAUAUUUCGGUCAUGCCGUUGGUAUGCACUGUUAUCAUUGAUUUCUCACCUUCUAAAGAACCGUAAUGCCAUUAAUUUGGUGUUACGGGGAAUUAGGACUGUUACCUUGAAAAAAUUAGAGUGUUUAAAGCAGGCUCACGCUUGAAUACAUUAGCAUGGAAUAAUGAAACAGGACAUCCGAUUCUAUUUUGUUGGUUUCUAGGAUCGAUGUAAUGAUUAAUAGGGAUAGUUGGGGGCAUUAGUAUUCAAUUGCCAGAGGUGAAAUUCUUGGAUUUAUUGAAGACUAACUACUGCGAAAGCAUUUGCCAAGGAUGUUUUCAUUAAUCAAGAACGAAAGUUAGGGGAUCGAAGACGAUCAGAUACCGUCGUAGUCUUAACCAUAAACUAUGCCGACUAGGGAUCGGAUGAUGUUAAUUUUUUAAUGACUCAUUCGGCGCCUUACGGGA